GUGAACCAAACGUCGAGUUAAGGGGCCUAAAUGAAUGCCUUUUUUGAUCCCAUCAAAAGGUGUUGGUUGCUAUAGACAGCAGGACGGUGGCCAUGGAAGUUGGAAUCCGCUAAGGAGUGUGUAACAACUCACCUGCCGAAGCAACUAGCCCUUAAAAUGGUAUGGCGCCCGAGCAUUCUCCCGAUACUCGACCGCCGGGGCACUAACGGUCUGUCUGACAUGCUGCAGCAGGCCUCGAAGCCCCGGUGAGUAGGAGGGUCGCGGUGGUGUGCGUUGAAGGGUACGGCGUGGGCCGGCCUGGAGCCGCCACUGGUGCAGAUCUUGGUGGUAGUAGCAAAUAAUCGAGAGAGACUCUCCUCGAAGGCCGAGGCGGAGAAGGGUUCCA
rnacentral:rRNA from 1 species